CUACGUGCCAGCAGCCGCGGUAAUACGUAGGUCCCGAGCGUUGUCCGGAUUUAUUGGGCGUAAAGCGAGCGCAGGCGGUUAGAUAAGUCUGAAGUUAAAGGCUGUGGCUUAACCAUAGUACGCUUUGGAAGCUGUUUAACUUGAGUGCAAGAGGGGAGAGUGGAAUUCCAUGUGUAGCGGUGAAAUGCGUAGAUAUAUGGAGGAACACCGGUGGCGAAAGCGGCUCUCUGGCUUGUAACUGACGCUGAGGCUCGAAAGCGUGGGGAGCAAACAGGAUUAGAUACCCUGGUAGUCCACGCCGUAAACGAUGGGUACUAGGUGUAGGAGGUAUCGACCCCUUCUGUGCCGGAGUUAACGCAAUAAGUACCCCGCCUGGGGAGUACGACCGCAAGGUUGAAACUCAAAGGAAUUGACGGGGGCCCGCACAAGCGGUGGAGUAUGUGGUUUAAUUCGACGCAACGCGAAGAACCUUACCAGGUCUUGACAUUGAUGGACAGAACUAGAGAUAG
rnacentral:rRNA from 1 species